AAGUUUGCUGCUUUGGCCUUCUCUUCCUGCUUCUUCCCGGAGUCGGGAAAAACUGAGUUGAGAGGGCGGGAAAAAAAAAAAA
rnacentral:pre_miRNA from 12 species